GACGAACGCUGGCGGCGUGCCUAACACAUGCAAGUCGAGCGAAUGAAGUUCCUUCGGGAAUGGAUUUAGCGGCGGACGGGUGAGUAACACGUGGGCAACCUGCCUCAUAGAGGGGAAUAGCCUUCCGAAAGGGAGAUUAAUACCGCAUAAGAUUGUAGUAUCGCAUGGUACAGCAAUUAAAGGAGCAAUCCGCUAUGAGAUGGGCCCGCGGCGCAUUAGCUAGUUGGUGAGGUAACGGCUCACCAAGGCGACGAUGCGUAGCCGACCUGAGAGGGUGAUCGGCCACAUUGGGACUGCGACACGGCCCAGACUCCUACGGGAGGCAGCAGUGGGGAAUAUUGCACAAUGGGGGAAACCCUGAUGCAGCAACGCCGCGUGAGUGAUGACGGCCUUCGGGUUGUAAAGCUCUGUCUUCAGGGACGAUAAUGACGGUACCUGAGGAGGAAGCCACGGCUAACUACGUGCCAGCCGCCGCCGUAAAAC
rnacentral:rRNA from 1 species